rnacentral:rRNA from 1 species
UGAUCAGCCACACUGGAACUGAGACACGGUCCAGACUCCUACGGGAGGCAGCAGUAGGGAAUAUUGGACAAUGGGCGCAAGCCUGAUCCAGCCAUGCCGCGUGAGUGAAGAAGGCCCUCGGGUUGUAAAGCUCUUUUGUCCGGAAAGAAAAGCGCCGGGUUAAUACCCUGGUGUCCUGACGGUACCGGAAGAAUAAGCACCGGCUAACUUCGUGCCAGCAGCCGCGGUAAUACGAAGGGUGCAAGCGUUACUCGGAAUUACUGGGCGUAAAGCGUGCGUAGGUGGUUCGUUAAGUCCGAUGUGAAAGCCCUGGGCUCAACCUGGGAAUGGCAUUGGAUACUGGCGGGCUAGAGUGCGGUAGAGGGUAGUGGAAUUCCCGGUGUAGCAGUGAAAUGCGUAGAGAUCGGGAGGAACAUCCGUGGCGAAGGCGACUACCUGGACCAGCACUGACACUGAGGCACGAAAGCGUGGGGAGCAAACAGGAUUAGAUACCCUGGUAGUCCACGCCGUAAACUAUGAGAGCUAGCCGUUGGAGGAUUUAUCCUUCAGUGGCGCAGCUAACGCAUUAAGCUCUCCGCCUGGGGAGUACGGUCGCAAGAUUAAAACUCAAGGAAUUGACGGGGACCCGCACAAGCGGUGGAUGAUGUGGUUUAAUUCGAUGCAACGCGAAAACCUUACCUACAC